rnacentral:lncRNA from 1 species
CCUUGAUCAGAUUCAGACCAUUUCAUAAGGAGGUAAGGCAUACUUUCAAAUGGCCUGUAUUAACCUUUAUCUUAUUUCUCCCUUGCAGAUUCAAAACUGUGAGCUAUCUUGCAAAAAAUACAAGAAGAUAUGGAAAGUUUUCGUGAGUGCCUACCACCUAAUCCCAAACACUGUCAUUCAUAUGCGCGACAUUGAGCAAAUCAUUAUUGAGGAUCUAUAUGCCAGGAGGAUAUCUGUUCUAUAUCAUUCUUACUUCCUGGAGAGGAGAAAAUCGGAAAUAUUUCCUCUACUCUGUCAGAUUCCUCCUUCUGUCCCUACUUCUGAAAUGGAGACUGAGUAG